GUCUCUCUGAGGCAACUGAAAGCCUGGGGCCGGAGUAAGUGGGAGGCAGACUGGGGCCUUGGUGGUUUCGUGUGGGAGUCCUUACGGAUUAUUCAUUAACAAAUCCAAGAUUGUUGGAUAUGGCACAUCAAUAAAAAGAUAAAUGUUCUGCGCACUCUGGAGGACUUUAUGGCGGGCCCCUCCCAGGAUGAUUUGUUGUUGCGCCGCCAUCUUGGUGACGCCGCAAAGACGCGCCCGUGCGUAGGACGUCAGGAGCAGAGCGUCAUUACCCGGAAGAAAAUGCCGCUGACAGCUGAAACCCGGAAGCGCUCUGAGCUUCUCCAUCUCCUGCCAAACAGAAAGCAAAGAUGGAUGACAUUGUGGUUGUAGCCCCUGGAACCCAGUCCCUCCAUAACAUUAGGAAGGACCCCGAAGUCAUCAAGUUACA